ensembl:lncRNA
GGGACCAGCUGCCAGCUGUCCCUCCCCCUGGAAGGACUCGUCUCUCUCUCGAGCUCUUUGCUGAAAGAAUUGUUUAUUCAAAGCAGCAAUUUCCUCCACACCCCUUCUAGCGACUUUAAUGGAACACGAGGAAGUUUUCUGACCUGGUUAUGGGGGGAGCAGAAUCCGCGGCUCAGCCCCCUGCCGGCCUCAGGAGGAGAGGAGAAGAGACCGCGGGCAGGAGGGGCACUCCGGAGAAGCAGGCAGAAAGUACAGAUUUCGUACACGCGGAGUUUCCGCAAACCUUGCUCUGUCCUCCUCCAUCAUUUUCCUCUCCCCUCCCCUGUCUCCGGGUGCUGCCGCGCAGGUCUGGUUCUUCAGUCCAGCUCCUGCUGCGCCCGGCACGGGCUGGACACCGAGGACCUGGCCCUGCCCACCUCAUUUGCCAGAAGUGAGUCGGCUUCCAGCUUUGAGAGAGUUGAUGUGCACUUGAGACACCUAGCAAAGCCUGAAACUGUAUUUUUCAAUACAUCUCCCUGGCAUGAAACUUUUUGGAAGCAGGAGAGGUAUUUAUUAAUAAAACAGAUGUUUGUGCAUUGUCAUCCACAUCCGGUCUACUGUAUACACAUUUACAUGCUCCCACUAAAACCUGCCUUCACCCCACUGCUGACCGGCUGUCUGCCAUUCACUCGCCAGUAGAAGGCUCGGUCAGUCAGGUCAGCCCCCUGGAAACAUCUGUAUUUGAUCAGUUUGCACAGAAUGGGGGCCUUCCUCAUGCUGGACUUCCCCGAAGUCAGCUGCGACUUCCAUUCACCACUGCUGCCUGAGCCGCCCGCAGGGACUCGUUUUUCCUCUGAGACUGUGCAGUGCCCAGACUGAGUUCUGUUCCAAGGAGCCCAGGGGCACAAGGCGCUCCGCGCUCUCCAAGCUAGCGUCCCGCUAGAGGCAGAAUUUCUCAUCGGCUGGGAAGGUGUCACUGAAGCUGGGACAGUUGGUUGUCCUUUAUCCAUUUCAGGACUUGGGAAAGGGUGACAAAUGGAAUCUCGUCGCAAAGUCAUCAACACGCUGUCAGCAUCUCAGCCAUUUCAGUCCCUGGUAGAGACAGUCUGUGCUCCCAGGUGCACGUCAGGGGAGGCUCAGCAUGUCUCUGUGUUCUCUCUCUCCCUCUCUCUUUCCCUCUCUCUCUCUCGCCCUCUCCCUUUCCCUCUCUCUCUCCCAUAUUUUCAGCGUUGUAUCAUCGCCAUGUUAUUCCAACAGCAAAUCUAAGGGGCAUUCUCGAGCCCCUUUUUCUUUAAAGCAAAAAAAUAACGUUUAGGACUGUCAGACACAGCCCCGGGAGAGUAUUUUGACAGACAACGUAUAUUUUCAUCACCUCAAUGGAAUGACAAUAGAAAUAUGAAAGGAAAAUCAACAGAACGUCUAGGAUAAACAUCGACCUCCAUAAGACAGCAUGAAAUGUUUCCUUACAGUUUGGGGCAUCGUGACUCACUCUGCUGGUAGAGCAUUUAGAAAAUCCCCAAUCAAGUGUUUGCAGAAGCUGUUGAGCACAUAUUGUAAAUGCCCCGGGCCUGUGUUCAUUCACAAAGAGGAUGGCGCCAGACAGUGGAAGACCGGGCAGCUACAUUUUCACCAGUAGGACCAUGAGGACACCAAGCUGGAGGCAAGAGACCCAGAAGACAGUCCCUGUCUUAGGACGCUCUUGGUCUACUUGGAGGGACAAAUCCAUGAAAAGGCAGAGAAAAACCGGAAGUCUCUGGUAUCCGAGAAGCGGCACGGCCACUAGCGUUGAGUGUUUGUCCUGUCCUCGUGCUGAGCACCUCGUGGUUUAAGGCUGCAGCCUCUGCGCCAUUCGCUGCUGCCUGCCGCGGGCACCGCCCCCUCACCGCAUCUUCGGCUGUGUGCUGGGGUCACCACUCUGUGCCUGAGGCCCCGCAAGUGCGGUGGAAAAUACAGUGCCCCCAGAAGUCAGCUUGUGAGGAGGAGGAAGGGGCACACACCGUGUGCCAAGUGCUUACAGCAGUGCCUAGCAGGUGUGUGGCGCUCAGUGCCGUCAGCCCGUCCCUCCCGCAUCAGCCAGUCCCUCCGUGGUGAGUAGCCACUAAUUCCAUUUGUAAGGAAAUCAGCUGGCUUUGAAAUACUUCGGCCAGCUGCAAUUUAACAUGCUCACUGCUUCCGAGUCAAACUGGCCCUUCGCAGUCGCAGCCUGACCCGCCAGGGAUGUGUUCAGUGUUGUAUUUUCAGUGCAUAACGCCAGCCUGUACAAAUAAAGGGACAGCCUUUUCUGCUGCA